rnacentral:rRNA from 1 species
GAUGAACGCUGGCGGCGUGCCUAAUACAUGCAAGUCGAGCGAACAGAUGAGGAGCUUGCUCCUCUGACGUUAGCGGCGGACGGGUGAGUAACACGUGGAUAACCUACCUAUAAGACUGGGAUAACUUCGGGAAACCGGAGCUAAUACCGGAUAAUAUAUUGAACCGCAUGGUUCAAUAGUGAAAGACGGUUUUGUUGUCACUUAUAGAUGGAUCCGCGCCGCAUUAGCUAGUUGGUAAGGUAACGGCUUACCAAGGCAACGAUGCGUAGCCGACCUGAGAGGGUGAUCGGCCACACUGGAACUGAGACACGGUCCAGACUCCUACGGGAGGCAGCAGUAGGGAAUCUUCCGCAAUGGGCGAAAGCCUGACGGAGCAACGCCGCGUGAAUGAUGAAGGUCUUCGGAUCGUAAAACUCUGUUAUUAGGGAAGAACAAAUGUGUAAGUAACUAUGCACGUCUUGACGGUACCUAAUCAGAAAGCCACGGCUAACUACGUGCCAGCAGCCGCCGUAAAAC